UACGAAGGGGGCUAGCGUUGUUCGGAAUUACUGGGCGUAAAGGGUGCGUAGGUGGCGCCACAAGUCAGAAGUGAAAGCCCUGGGCUCAACCCGGGAAUUGCUUUUGAGACUGUGGUGCUUGAGUUCGGAAGAGGUGAGUGGAAUUCCCAGUGUAGAGGUAAAAUUCGUAGAUAUUGGGAGGAACACCGGUGGCGAAAGCGGCUCACUGGUCCGAAACUGACACUGAGACACGAAAGCGUGGGGAGCAAACAGG
rnacentral:rRNA from 1 species